AUUGAACGCUGGCGGCAUGCUUUACACAUGCAAGUCGAACGGUAACAGGUUAAGCUGACGAGUGGCGAACGGGUGAGUAAUGCAUCGGAACGUGCCCGGUCGUGGGGGAUAACGCAGAGAAAGCUGCGCUAAUACCGCAUACGAGCUAAGGAUGAAAGCGGGGGGCCGUAAGGCCUCGCGCGAUCGGAGCGGCCGAUGUCAGAUUAGGUAGUUGGUGGGGUAAAGGCUCACCAAGCCAACGAUCUGUAGCUGGUCUGAGAGGACGACCAGCCACACUGGGACUGAGACACGGCCCAGACUCCUACGGGAGGCAGCAGUGGAGAAUUUUGGACAAUGGGCGAAAGCCUGUUCCAGCAAUGCCGCGUGCAGGAAGAAGGCCUUCGGGUUGUAAACUGCUUUUGUACGGAGCGAAAAGGUCUCCUCUAAUACAGGGGGCUCAUGACGGUACCGUAAGAAUAAGCACCGGCUAACUACGUGCCAGCCGCCGCGGUAA
rnacentral:rRNA from 1 species